CUGGUUGAUCCUGCCAGUAGUCAUAUGCUUGUCUCAAAGACUAGGCCAUGCACGUCUAAGUAUAAAUGUUAUACAGUGAAACUGCGAAUGGCUCAUUAAAACAGUUAUAGUUUAUUUGAUAAUCGAAUUUACAUGGAUAACCGUGGUAAUUCUAGAGCUAAUACAUGCUGGUUAGCCUGACUUCGAGGAAGGGCUGUAUUUAUUAGAUAACAAACCAAUAUUCUUCGUGUCUAUUGUGAUGACUCAUAAUAACUGAUCGAAUCGCAUGGUCCUUGACCGCGAUAAAUCAUUCAAGUUUCUGCCCCAUCAGCUUUCGAUGGUAGUGUAUUGGACUACCAUGGCUUUAACGGGUAACGGAGGAUUAGGGUUCGAUUCCGGAGAGGGAGCCUGAGAAACGGCUACCACAUCUAAGGAAGGCAGCAGGCGCGUAAAUUACCCAAUCCUGACUCAGGGAGGUAGUGACAAGAAAUAACGGACCGAGGCUUUGCUUCGGGAUUGCAAUGAGUAGAAUUUAAACCCCUUUACGAGGAUCCAUUGGAGGGCAAGUCUGGU
rnacentral:rRNA from 1 species